AUUGGACGCUGGCGGCAUGCCUUACACAUGCAAGUCGAACGGCAGCGGGGGAGAAGCUUGCUUUUCCUGCCGGCGAGUGGCGAACGGGUGAGUAAUACAUCGGAACGUGCCCUGUAGUGGGGGAUAACUAGUCGAAAGAUUAGCUAAUACCGCAUACGACCUGAGGGUGAAAGUGGGGGACCGCAAGGCCUCAUGCUAUAGGAGCGGCCGAUGUCUGAUUAGCUAGUUGGUGGGGUAAAGGCCUACCAAGGCGACGAUCAGUAGCUGGUCUGAAAUGACGAUCAGCCAAACUGGGACUAGGACACAGCCCAGACACCUACGGGAGGCAGCAGUGGGGAAUUUUGGACAAUGGGCGAAAGCCUGAUCCAGCAAUGCCGCGUGUGUGAAGAAGGCCUUCGGGUUGUAAAGCACUUUUGUCCGGAAAGAAAUGGCUCUGGUUAAUACCUGGGGUCGAUGACGGUACCGGAAGAAUAAGGACCGGCUAACUACGUGCCAGCCGCCGCCGUAA
rnacentral:rRNA from 1 species